UCUGUUGCUUAUACUCGGAAUCCGUGGUACGAACAAAGUUUUAUACCUACAGGAUUUACGCUGCCCACCGGGUAGCGUGAUUCCUCUUGUUCUUGCUGCCACCAGGACUUCUACCAGAGACAUUUACGUGGAUAUACCCAUUGAAAUCAUUAUCAAGUAUCAAGGUUAUUUGUGGUAAAAACUCCUAUUGGAACAAUCAUCGCCUCCCUUUUUCUACCUGGUUCGACCUCACCUAUGCCAAGUGCUGUGUGUAGCUUAUGCCCAAUUCCCGCCAUUGGAAUACUUUUGAAUUCAUAGAAAUCCGCACCUAUAUGUAUCUAGAACCGAUGCACUGGCAGUGUUUCCCUGUAUGAGCUGCUAGUGCAAUAACAAGAAAUCAACCCAUCAAUCUCCACAUCUGAAUGGCCGAUGAGAUUUAAAAAGAACUACCAAGUGAAUAAACCAAGGCCUUAAACUCAUGUUUUCAACAACCUA